UUUAAGUGUAGUUGUGAGUUUUUAUAUCUAACAUUUGACUGCUCGUUUUAUUUGUAUUUUUUAUGAGUAGUACUUUUAUUGUUAUUAGAUGAUAAAACAUGAGCAGCACUAUACGUUUAAUAUUUUUUAAAAUAAGACAGGCAGUUAAACAUUGGAUAUAAACUUAUAACUGUAUUUAAA
rnacentral:pre_miRNA from 1 species